GAUGAAGAACGCAGCGAAAUGCGAUAAGUAGUGUGAAUUGCAGAAUUCAGUGAAUCAUCGAAUCUUUGAACGCACAUUGCGCCCUUUGGUAUUCCUUAGGGCAUGCCUGUUCGAGCGUCAUUUGAAACCUCAAGCUCAGCUUGGUGUUGGGUGUCUGUCCCCGCCUCCGCGGGGACUCGCCUCAAAAUCAUUGGCGGCCGGUACGUUGGCUUCGAGCGCAGCAGAAACGCGAACUCGAGGCCCGGCGGAUCGGCGACCAGAAGUCUCUUCUUCACAGUUUGACCUCGGAUCAGGUAGGGAUACCCGCUGAACUUAAGCAUAUCAAUAAGCGGAGG
rnacentral:misc_RNA from 1 species